rnacentral:sRNA from 1 species
AUAUUAAAACGUUGCAAAAUCGUCGCAAUUUAGUCACAAAACAGUUACACAAACGUUGCAACGUGCGACUGUGUUCUGCUGUCGUCGCAAAAAAAUUGCACAAAGCGACUGUUUUGUGACAUUUUGGAAUAGAUCACAAGACAAACUUUUGAAAUCCACAUAGUUUGAUCCAUUCUAUAGAUAAACAUUACUGAAAAACAACCAUUUUAGUACAUAAAGAACUUUAGGUAUACAAAUGAUUGGUUUCAAACUUAUUUGAGAACUUGUUUGAAAAGAUCAAUCAUGAAAAUGAAUUCACAUGAACCUUAUCAUGUAGAUUAGGUUUUUUUGAAUGUUUGGUUUGUAAUAUUCAGAUUUGAAGUGUUUGGUUAUGUUUUUAUAUAUAAUAUCGACCAAAUUAAAGUGUCAACGUAUAAAAAAACAUAUAAACAUACCAGAACUUAAAAAUUUCGAAAUUCAAAACUCGAGCGUUGGUAAUAAGUAGCUAAUUGGUUGAAAAGUGCGACUGUGUUCUGUUGUCGUCGCAAAACGUUGCACCUAGCGACUGUUUUGUGACAUUUUUGAAACAUUUUACAAAUAAAAAUGCUCGUUAGUCCCUAUUCGGUCGCACAAUAUUUACUAGAGAAACACUUAAUAAAUUUCACAAAAUUUUAAAACGUUGCACAAUCGUCGCAAUUUAGUCACAAAACAGUUACACAAACGUUGCAACGUGCGACUAUGUUCUGCUGUCGUCGCAAAAAAGUUGCACAAAGCGACUGUUUUGUGACAUUUUGGAAUAGGUCACAAGACAAACUUUUGAAAUCCACAUAGUUCGAUCCAUUCUAUAGAUAAACAUUACUGAAAAACAACCAUUUUAGUACAUAAAGAACUUUAGGUAUACAAAUGAUUUGUUUCAAACUUAUUUGAGAACUUGUUUGAAAAGAUCAAUCAUGAAAAUGAAUUCACAUGAACCUUAUAAAUUUAACAAAAUUUUAAAAUGUUGCACUAUCGUCGCAAUUUAGUCACAAAACAGUUACACAAACGUUGCAACGUGCGACUGUGUUCUGCUGUCGUCGCAAAAAAGUUGAACAAAGCGACUGUUUUGUGACAUUUUGGAAUAGGUCACAAGACAAACUUUUAAAAUCCACAUAGUUUGAUCCAUUCUAUAGAUAAACAUUACUGAAAAACAACCAUUUUAUUACAUAAAGAACUGUAGAUAUACAAAUGAUUGGUUUCAAACUUAUUUGAGAACUUGUUUGAAAAGAUCAAUCAUGAAAAUGGAUUCACAUCAACCUUAUCAUGUAGAUUAGGUUUUUUUCAGUGUUUGGUUUGUAAUAUUUAGAUUUGAAGUGUUUGGUUAUGUUUUUAUAUAUAAUAUCGACCAAAUUAAAGUGUCAACGUAUAAGGAAACAUAUAAACGUACCAGAACUUAAAAAUUUUGAAAUUCAAAACUCGAGCGUUGGUAAUAAGUAGCUAAUUGGUUGCAAAGUGCGACUGUAUUCUGUUGUCGUCGCAAAACGUUGCACCUAGCGACUGUUUUGUGACAUUUUUGAAACAUUUUACAAAUAAAAAUGCUCGUUAGUCCCUAUUCGGUCGCACAAUAUUUACUAGAGAAACACUUAAUAAAUUUCACAAAAUUUUAAAACGUUGCACAAUCGUCGCAAUUUAGUCACAAAACAGUUACACAAACGUUACAACGUGCGACUGUGUUCUGCUGUCGUCGCAAAAAAAUUGCACAAAGCGACUGUUUUGUGACAUUUUGGAAUAGAUCACAAGACAAACUUUUGAAAUCCACAUAGUUUGAUCCAUUCUAUAGAUAAACAUUACUGAAAAACAACCAUUUUAGUACAUAAAGAACUUUAGGUAUACAAAUGAUUGGUUUCAAACUUAUUUGAGAACUUGUUUGAAAAGAUCAAUCAUGAAAAUGAAUUCACAUGAACCUUAUCAUGUAGAUUAGGUUUUUUUGAAUGUUUGGUUUGUAAUAUUCAGAUUUGAAGUGUUUGGUUAUGUUUUUAUAUAUAAUAUCGACCAAAUUAAAGUGUCAACGUAUAAAAAAACAUAUAAACAUACCAGAACUUAAAAAUUUCGAAAUUCAAAACUCGAGCGUUGGUAAUAAGUAGCUAAUUGGUUGAAAAGUGCGACUGUGUUCUGUUGUCGUCGCAAAACGUUGCACCUAGCGACUGUUUUGUGACAUUUUUGAAACAUUUUACAAAUAAAAAUGCUCGUUAGUCCCUAUUCGGUCGCACAAUAUUUACUAGAGAAACACUUAAUAAAUUUCACAAAAUUUUAAAACGUUGCACAAUCGUCGCAAUUUAGUCACAAAACAGUUACACAAACGUUGCAACGUGCGACUAUGUUCUGCUGUCGUCGCAAAAAAGUUGCACAAAGCGACUGUUUUGUGACAUUUUGGAAUAGGUCACAAGACAAACUUUUGAAAUCCACAUAGUUCGAUCCAUUCUAUAGAUAAACAUUACUGAAAAACAACCAUUUUAGUACAUAAAGAACUUUAGGUAUACAAAUGAUUUGUUUCAAACUUAUUUGAGAACUUGUUUGAAAAGAUCAAUCAUGAAAAUGAAUUCACAUGAACCUUAUAAAUUUAACAAAAUUUUAAAAUGUUGCACUAUCGUCGCAAUUUAGUCACAAAACAGUUACACAAACGUUGCAACGUGCGACUGUGUUCUGCUGUCGUCGCAAAAAAGUUGCACAAAGCGACUGUUUUGUGACAUUUUGGAAUAGGUCACUAGACAAACUUUUAAAAUCCACAUAGUUUGAUCCAUUCUAUAGAUAAACAUUACUGAAAAACAACCAUUUUAUUACAUAAAGAACUGUAGAUAUACAAAUGAUUGGUUUCAAACUUAUUUGAGAACUUGUUUGAAAAGAUCAAUCAUGAAAAUGGAUUCACAUCAACCUUAUCAUGUAGAUUAGGUUUUUUUCAGUGUUUGGUUUGUAAUAUUUAGAUUUGAAGUGUUUGGUUAUGUUUUUAUAUAUAAUAUCGACCAAAUUAAAGUGUCAACGUAUAAGAAAACAUAUAAACAUACCAGAACUUAACAAUUUCGAAAUUCAAAACUCGAGCGUUGGUAAUAAGUAGCUAAUUGGUUGAAAAGUGCGACUGUGUUCUAUUGUCGUCGCAAAAACGUUGCACCUAGCGACUGUUUUGUGACAUUUUUGAAACAUUUUACAAAUAAAAAUGCUCGUUAGUCCCUAUUCGGUCGCACAAUAUUUACUCGAGAAACACUUAAUAAAUUUAACAAAAUUUUAAAACGUUGCACAAUCGUCGCAAUUUAGUCACAAAACAGUUACAAAAACGUUACAACGUGCGACUGUGUUCUGCUGUCGUCGCAAAAAAAUUGCACAAAGCGACUGCUUUAUGACAUUUUGGAAUAGGUCACAAGACAAACUUUUGAAAUCCACAUAGUUUGAUCCAUUCUAUAGAUAAACAUUACUGAAAAACAACCAUUUUAGUACAUAAAGAACUUUAGGUAUACAAAUGAUUGGUUUCAAACUUAUUUGAGAACUUGUUUGAAAAGAUCAAUCAUGAAAAUGAAUUCACAUGAACCUUAUCAUGUAGAUUAGGUUUUUUCGAAUGUUUGGUUUGUAAUAUUA